AUUGAACGCUGGCGGCAGGCUUAACACAUGCAAGUCGAGCGGGGUGAUGGUGCUUGCACUAUCACUUAGCGGCGGACGGGUGAGUAAUACUUAGGAAUCUGCCUAUUAGUGGGGGACAACAUCUCGAAAGGGAUGCUAGUACCGCAUACGUCCUACGGGAGAAAGCAGGGGAUCACUUGUGACCUUGCGCUAAUAGAUGAGCCUAAGUCGGAUUAGCUAGUUGGUGGGGUAAAGGCCUACCAAGGCGACGAUCUGUAGCGGGUCUGGGAGGAUGAUCCGCCACACUGGGACUGAGACACGGCCCAGACUCCUACGGGAGGCAGCAGUGGGGAAUAUUGGACAAUGGGGGGAACCCUGAUCCAGCCAUGCCGCGUGUGUGAAGAAGGCCUUAUGGUUGUAAAGCACCUUAAGCGAGGAGGAGGCUCUUUUGGUUAAUACCCAAGAUGAGUGGACGUUACUUGCAGAAUAAGCACCGGCUAACUCUGUGCCAGCAGCCGCGGUAA
rnacentral:rRNA from 1 species